GGUGCCGUGCUCGAGUGGUUAGGGAGCGGUCUGCAAAACCGCCAACAUCGGUUCAAUUCCGAUCGGCACCU
rnacentral:tRNA from 1 species